CCUGGCGGCACUAGCGCGGUGGUCCCACCUGACCCCAUGCCGAACUCAGAAGUGAAACGCCGUAGCGCCGAUGGUAGUGUGGGGUCUCCACGUGAGAGUAGGGAACUGCCAGCA
rnacentral:rRNA from 1 species